AGUGAGCAAUGGGUGCCAUCCUCUGGUUAGAAGAAGUAAAUGCAGUCAGUGGAAUGGGAACACGAAUACAAAGAUUCUUGUGAAUCGUAAUUUUCAAAAUCGCUUUCAGCAGAAACCUCAAAGGCCAACUGCUGUCUUCAACCUUAGUAGGAAUUGUGUUUAGCUUUGCUGCACAGCUGCGAAUCUAAAGCCACUGUGAAGGCGGAAGAAUAAGCGCAAGAGAGUGAAUGUAAUACAUGGAGGUGACAUAUUUUGUCAUAUCUUAAAAGACCACAUGAGGGCACAAAAAUUUGAAAAUCAAAAGUCUUUGUGUGGCGCUUCAUAGGGAUGGAUGACAUGUACAAUUUCAGAUACAAUUUCUUUUAAGUAUUGAAAUUUUCAGGUUUCUAAAAUAUAUGAGAAUGAUUUUUAUUGUGAUUAAUGCUUUGACCUGGUUGAUUCUCUUGAGCUGAUGAGGGGCCUAAUAUAUAACCCUUAUAUUUUUGUUUGUUUUUGGUAUUUUUGUAACCUUUUAACUCUUUUGUAGCAUAAUUUGUUAGUUUUGGUCAAUUCUUUUUUUGUCUUUUUUGUGUGUUUGUAACAAUGAUAUAGUUUCUCAUGAUUUCAUAUGGGAUAUACCUGAAAUUUAGACUAUUUUUGAUGGUAAAGGAUUAAUGAAUAUUUAAAACCUUUUCAGUCACA